rnacentral:rRNA from 1 species
GACGAACGCUGGCGGCGUGCCUAAUACAUGCAAGUAGAACGCUGACGAGAGGAGCUUACUCUUCUUGGAUGAGUUGCGAACGGGUGAGUAACGCGUAGGUAACCUGCCUUGUAGCGGGGGAUAACUAUUGGAAACGAUAGCUAAUACCGCAUAACAAUGGAUGACACAUGUCAUUUAUUUGAAAGGGGCAAUUGCUCCACUACAAGAUGGACCUGCGUUGUAUUAGCUAGUAGGUGAGGUAAUGGCUCACCUAGGCGACGAUACAUAGCCGACCUGAGAGGGUGAUCGGCCACACUGGGACUGGGACACGGCCCAGACGCCUGCGGGAGGCAGCAGUAGGGAAUCUUCGGCCAUGGGGGCAACCCUGACCGGGCAACGCCGCGUGAGUGAAGAAGGUUUUCGGAUCGUAAAGCUCUGUUGUAAGUCAAGAACGGGUGUGAGAGUGGAAAGUUCACACUGUGACGGUAGCUUACCAGAAAGGGACGGCUAACUACGUG